rnacentral:lncRNA from 1 species
GGAGGAAGAAGAAGAAUAAGAGGAGAGGAGGAGAAGUGGAGAAGAAGAAGAGGAGUAGGAGGAGGAGGAGUAGGAGGAGGAUGAGGAGGAGAAGAAAAAGAAGAAGAAGAAGAAGAGGAGAAGAAAAAAUUAAGAAGAAGAAGAAGAAGAAGAAGAAGAACAAGAGAAGAAAAAAAAUAAGAAGGAGAAGAAGUAAAGAAGAAGAGAAGAAGAAGAGAAGAAAAGAAUAAGAAAAAA